GGGUUGUGAGGUUAAGCGACUAAGCGUACACGGUGGAUGCCCUGGCAGUCAGAGGCGAUGAAGGACGUGCUAAUCUGCGAUAAGCGUCGGUGAGGUGAUAUGAACCGUUAUAACCGGCGAUUUCCGAAUGGGGAAACCCAGUGUGUUUCGACACACUAUCAUUAACUGAAUCCAUAGGUUAAUGAGGCGAACCGGGGGAACUGAAACAUCUAAGUACUCCGAGGAAAAGAAAUCAACCGAGAUUCCCCCAGUAGCGGCGAGCGAACGGGGAGGAGCCCAGAGCCUGAAUCAGUGUGUGUGUUAGUGGAAGCGUCUGGAAAGGCGCGCGAUACAGGGUGACAGCCCCGUACACAAAAAUGCACAUAUUGUGAGCUCGAUGAGUAGGGCGGGACACGUGGUAUCCUGUCUGAAUAUGGGGGGACCAUCCUCCAAGGCUAAAUACUCCUGACUGACCGAUAGUGAACCAGUACCGUGAGGGAAAGGCGAAAAGAACCCCGGCGAGGGGAGUGAAAAAGAACCUGAAACCGUGUACGUACAAGCAGUGGGAGCCUCUUAAUGGGGUGACUGCGUACCUUUUGUAUAAUGGGUCAGCGACUUAUAUUCUGUAGCAAGGUUAACCGAAUAGGGGAGCCGAAGGGAAACCGAGUCUUAACUGGGCGUUAAGUUGCAGGGUAUAGACCCGAAACCCGGUGAUCUAGCCAUGGGCAGGUUGAAGGUUGGGUAACACUAACUGGAGGACCGAACCGACUAAUGUUGAAAAAUUAGCGGAUGACUUGUGGCUGGGGGUGAAAGGCCAAUCAAACCGGGAGAUAGCUGGUUCUCCCCGAAAGCUAUUUAGGUAGCGCCUCGUGAAUUCAUCUCCGGGGGUAGAGCACUGUUUCGGCAAGGGGGUCAUCCCGACUUACCAACCCGAUGCAAACUGCGAAUACCGGAGAAUGUUAUCACGGGAGACACACGGCGGGUGCUAACGUCCGUCGUGAAGAGGGAAACAACCCAGACCGCCAGCUAAGGUCCCAAAGUCAUGGUUAAGUGGGAAACGAUGUGGGAAGGCCCAGACAGCCAGGAUGUUGGCUUAGAAGCAGCCAUCAUUUAAAGAAAGCGUAAUAGCUCACUGGUCGAGUCGGCCUGCGCGGAAGAUGUAACGGGGCUAAACCAUGCACCGAAGCUGCGGCAGCGACGCUUAUGCGUUGUUGGGUA
rnacentral:rRNA from 1 species